rnacentral:rRNA from 1 species
CGAACGCUGGCGGCGUGCUUAACACAUGCAAGUCGAAUGGAAAGGCCCUGCUUUUGUGGGGUGCUCGAGUGGCGAACGGGUGAGUAACACGUGAGUAACCUGCCCUUGACUUUGGGAUAACUUCAGGAAACUGGGGCUAAUACCGGAUAGGAGCUCCUGCUGCAUGGUGGGGGUUGGAAAGUUUCGGCGGUUGGGGAUGGACUCGCGGCUUAUCAGCUUGUUGGUGGGGUUGUGGCUUACCAAGGCUUUGACGGGUAGCCGGCCUGAGAGGGUGACCGGCCACAUUGGGACUGAGAUACGGCCCAGACUCCUACGGGAGGCAGCAGUGGGGAAUAUUGCACAAUGGGCGGAAGCCUGAUGCAGCAACGCCGCGUGCGGGAUGACGGCCUUCGGGUUGUAAACCGCUUUCGCCUGUGACGAAGCGUGAGUGACGGUAAUGGGUAAAGAAGCACCGGCUAACUACGUG